GAGUUUGAUCGUGGCUCAGAGUGAACGCUGGCGGUAGGCCUAACACAUGCAAGUCGAACGGUAACAGGUCUUUCGGGAUGCUGACGAGUGGCGGACGGGUGAGGAAUACAUCGGAAUCUGCUCAGUCGUGGGGGAUAACGCAUGGAAACGUGCGCUAAUACCGCAUACGACCUUCGGGUGAAAGCAGGGGAAUCUCUCGGGAUCCUUGCGCGAUUGAAUGAGCCGAUGUCGGAUUAGCUAGUUGGUAGGGUAAAAGCCUACCAAGGCCACGAUCCGUAGCUGGUCUGAGAGGAUGAUCAGCCACACUGGGACUGAGACACGGCCCAGACUCCUGCGGGAGGCAGCAGUGGGGAAUAUUGGACAAUGGGGGCAACCCUGAUCCAGCCAUACCGCGUGGGUGAAGAAGGCCUUCUGGGUUGUAAAGCCCUUUUGUUGGGGAAGAAAAACAACGGGUUAAUACCCCGUUGGUAUGACGGUACCCAAAGAAUAAGCACCGGCUAACUUCGUGCCAGCAGCCGCGGUAAUACGAAGGGUGCAAGCGUUACUCGGAAUUACUGGGCGUAAAGGGUGCGUAGGUGGUUGCGCCAGUCUGUCGUGAAAGCCCUGGGCUUAACCUGGGAAUGGCGAUGGAAACUGUGCAACUAGAGUGUGACAGAGGGUGGUGGAAUUCCUGGUGUAGCAGUGAAAUGCGUAGAGAUCAGGAGGAACAUUCGCGGCGAAGGCGGCCACCUGGGUCAACACUGACACUGAGGCACGAAAGCGUGGGGAGCAAACAGGAUUAGAUACCCUGGUAGUCCACGCCCUAAACGAUGCGAACUGGAUGUUGGGUCCAACUUGGGAUUCAGUAUCGAAGCUAACGCGUUAAGUUCGCCGCCUGGGGAGUACGGUCGCAAGACUGAAACUCAAAGGAAUUGACGGGGGCCCGCACAAGCGGUGGAGUAUGUGGUUUAAUUCGAUGCAACGCGCAGAACCUUACCUGGCCUUGACAUGCACGGAACCUUUG
rnacentral:rRNA from 1 species